GCUUAUGGCCACACCACCCUGAGAACACAGGCCAGUCUGAUCUGGGAAGCUCAUCAGCAUCAGGCCUGCUUAGUACUUGGGUGGGAGACCGCCUGGGAAUACCAGGUGCUGUAGGCU
rnacentral:rRNA from 1 species